rnacentral:rRNA from 1 species
AACGUAGGUGACAAACGUUAUCCGGAGUUACUGGGCGUAAAGGGCGUGUAGGUGGUUUCGUAAGUCUGGCGUGAAAUUUUUCGGCUUAACCGGGAAAGGUCGUCGGAUACUGCAGAACUAGAGGACGGUAGAGGCGUGUGGAAUUCCGGGUGUAGUGGUGAAAUGCGUAGAGAUCCGGAGGAACACCAGUGGCGAAGGCGACACGCUGGGCCGUACCUGACACUGAGGAGCGAAAGCCAGGGGAGCAAACGGG